UUGACCUCGGAUCAGGUAGGAAUACCCGCUGAACUUAAGCAUAUCAAUAAGCGGAGGAAAAGAAACCAACAGGGAUUGCCCUAGUAACGGCGAGUGAAGCGGCAACAGCUCAAAUUUGAAAUCUGGCUCUCGGGCCCGAGUUGUAAUUUGUAGAGGAUACUUUUGAUGCGGUGCCUUCCGAGUUCCCUGGAACGGGACGCCAUAGAGGGUGAGAGCCCCGUCUGGUUGGAUGCCAAAUCUCUGUAAAGUUCCUUCAACGAGUCGAGUAGUUUGGGAAUGCUGCUCUAAAUGGGAGGUAUAUGUCUUCUAAAGCUAAAUACCGGCCAGAGACCGAUAGCGCACAAGUAGAGUGAUCGAAAGAUGAAAAGCACUUU
rnacentral:rRNA from 1 species